CUGACUGAGUGCAUAUGUGUGCAUGCAUUGUACGCCGCGGGUGUUUGGACCGACUUAGAGGCGCCGUACUGUAAAACUUUCUGACCUGUUGAUUUAUCUUCACUAAAAAGGGCCCGUGAAAGAUCUGUCGGUGUUGAGAAAGGACCGCAGGAAUGAACCACGGCAGGCAAGACGGUGUGGAGGAGGAGAGCGAGCGCAUGGGGCCGGGUGGGUGGAGCCCGCGCCAUGCAGGAAGGAAACACAGGAAACGUUCUAGCAGGAAAACAAUCGGCUGAAUGGGGGACAGCCUCUAGCAAACUUCAACCAGCUCAGCCCCCCUGCGGCUCCAGACAGAGGAGUGAUUCCCCUUGGCGGACUGGCAGUGGUGCCGUCGUUUGGGCUCAACCUCCUGUGCCUACUGAGCUGAUAACAGUUAGAUGUCAAAACAAGCACUGGCUCAGUUCAGCAGGAACCGGAGUUACGCCUUCAAUAAACAGCGAGGACAUAUCCGUCCCCACGCACGAUUAUGCACUUGUAUUAAAUGUUGCAGUAAACUUUUUUAGUAAAUGUUUC
ensembl:lncRNA